UGGACUCGGUGAAGCUGACCUGGAGACAUCGGUUCCCAGCCUACAUCACCAACUUGGUCUCCAUUGUCUUCGUGGGCUAGACAUCGCUUGGAGCCUCGAGCCAGGAUGUGCCCUUGAUGACUGCAGCCUGGGGCUUGCGUGGCUCAGGGGCUGCUGGGGUAGACCAUGGAGGACAUGGGCAGCGGGAGCUCAAUGCCAUGGAGACUGGCUCCCUGCCAGCAGAGUGGUCAGCUCCCCCACACACAGGCUGUCAGCAUCUGGGCCCUGGCUGCCCGCCCACUGCUGGCCUGGGCUCGUUUGAGUGCCCUGCCUGCUUGGCCAGAUGUCCAGUAGGCUUUGGACAGAGCCAUCUAACCUGGGGCAGAACCCAUGGGCUGUCAGAGGCCUUCACCCACCCCUUCACCCAGCACAAGGUCACCACCGAGCCAAGCUAGGAGGAAGGGACAGAAAGGCUGGACUCUCCAGCCAGCAGACCGGCGACACGUCGGCCCAGACAGAGCUGGAGUCCUUGGCCAGCACCAAGGGCUCUGCUGGGGUGGCCCCUGACGACCCACUCUGCCAGCAGCACCAGGCUGCGCCCCGGCACCAGGCUGCGCCCCGUAGCAUCACCGGAGGCAGGGUGUUGUUGCUGCAGAGUACAGCACAGAGAUGGCCCGGUGAGCUCAUCUGAGCUCUGAGACCUUGGGCAGACCAGACCUCCACACACAGGCUGCAGUUGAGGAAAGUGCUCCAUCCUUCCUCCCAGCUCCGGUGUGCUGACCCCAUCCCUUCCUGACGUCCUACCCACAGAGAUGAGAUCCAUCAGGCCAGUCGCUCUCCCCUAGGGGUGGUCUCGUUCCCCGGAGACAUCUUUGUCUAACAUGCCUGGGGCAGGUGUUACUGGCCCCUCCUACAAGGCACAGAAAAGCCCUCCCACCGCCACAACAGAGAAUUAUCUAUCCCCGGAUGUCAACAGGGCAGAGGUUAAGACACCAUGAUUUAGGUUAACAAGGUCUUCUCUUAAAAUGCAAACAUUUCUGGUAAGUUAACCAUCCACACCUUAGCAUAAAAUAGUGCAAAUACGUGGAUUUUUUUUCUCCCUAAGGCUCCUAACAAUACCCAAGCCAAGCGAUGAGCAUUUUCAUGGGAAAGGAGGCAGGAAUCUGGGAGGGGUUGGAAAGGAGGGCGCCCCGCCAAGGGCUUUGGGCAGACGAGCAUCUGUGUGGUGGUCCACACAGGUCGGGCUCAUCAUCAGCUCGUGGGCAGAGCGUAGCACAGUAGCCCCGCACCUUCCACGAUGCUCUCUUCUAGCCUGAUGACAAAACACUACUCUCACCCCAUCACAGAACGAUGGAGUCUUUGCGGUUUCACAGUUCGGAGGCUUAAUUUACAUGUGUGACUUUGGGCAAGUUGCUGAACCUCUCUGUACCACGGUUCCUCAGCCUGUAAAUGGGGCCUAAUAACAGUACACACAUCACAGGGUUGUUACGACCGUGAGAUGAGUUAAGGGUUGUAAAGCAUUUAGACCGAGCCUGGCACGAGGGAGACUUCUAUCAGCAUCAAAGGAAACACAAAUGAAUCCGUCCCAGGGCGGGCUCUGAGUGCAUUGAAUCUACAGCGUGUACCGCCUUCCUCCACCAAGACGAAGACCGUGGGUGUCGGGAGACACACAGAGUGAAGACAGGGAGGAGACAGGGCACCCAAGGCACCCAACGUCCCGGGAGCACCCCCACCCCAGCAGAGACGGCCGCAGCCGUCCGGGAAAGCUGGGGGACACGGGAGAGCCAUUUUACCCAGACGGCAGCCCUAAGGAUGCGACAGCGGCCGUGCGGGCCCCACCCGCUCUGGGGAGCAAGAGGUUUGCUCAAAGGCCAGGAGGUGAACGGAGACAUUUUACAACCCCCCACCACGGGACCCCUCUGCGCCACCUCCCCUCCCUCCGCGCGCCCCCGGCUCCCCGUUUGGUUCAGCGCUGCCCUACACCGUGCAGGCAGCUGAGCCCUGGAACCCAGGGGCCCCGGCCCGCCUGACAGGCGCAGUUUCGAGUGGCGGCUGGCUGUCGCCAGAUCCCAGGGUGGGCUCUCCGGGCCAGGCACCCCACCAGGGCCAUCGGGCACUGUGUGCCAGCCCACAGCCCCCAAGCCCCCUCCUGGGAGCCUGGGGGAACAAAGCUCCCCUUCCAACCAGAGCUGCCAGCAUCGACCCCUCCGAGUAUCUUCAGGGCCACAGCCCAGAGACUGACUGGCACUCGCCCUCACUGACCCCUCCGGGCCCACCCACUCUGCCCAAGGUGGACACAGGAUAAGGAGAACCCAGAUGCCGUCACCUCCCCCAACCCUUGCUUUGGCCCCCACUCAGACCCAGUCCGGGCCCAGACCCUGCUGUGAUGAGGCUGAUUGGGCCUCCUUGCUGGCCGCCACCACGGCCCGACUCCCGGCCCACGAGCCCGUGUCUGGGCUGGUCUUGACUCGAGGCCCCCUCCACCCUCUUUCACCUCCUCCCCCGCUGACCCCCACCGUGAGACACCAGGAGCAGCAAGUGAGGCCAGGAAAGGAGCCGGCACCCUGAAUCUCCUACUGACACCGUGCUCCGCUCCCACGGACUCACCCCAGCGGCAUUGGGAGCAACCGAGACAUCGUACCCCUGACGGUGCGCCCGCCCCCGCUAGCUUCUCCCCGCAGGGCUAUGGGACAGAGAGGACAGAGAGGACAGAGAGGUCCAGCAAGGCCUGGACCCGGCCUCCCACAGAUGCCUCCCAGGAGCUCAGCUCUGACUCUGCAGCCUGCCAGCGGCACAGGAAGGGCCGGGACACGUGCUCGUGUGUGCACGCACAUCACCUACACCCUCAGGCACUUGCACACACACGUGCACACACACACCGCACCAGCUCCCGAGGGCUCCGCGACGCCCACCGAGUUCUCCCCACACCCCACGGAGCCACACACGGAUGCGCAGAGUUCCACAUCCGGGUCACGCACAGGAACGCAGAGCCCACACUGGGAGCGCACCAGGGGCACUCCCGUGGUCCCACUCUGAGCCACACUAGGGCACCCAGGAGGGGACUCACCCACGGCCACCCACAAGACGGUGGCUCUCUUGUGAGAAACCCCAAAAUCCCAUUGUUGGGGUCUGAAACUGCUGCUCAGACCCAAAACUGUCACUGCCAGGGCUACCCUGGACCCUGGGGGACGGUGAGAACACGCUUUCUGCUUUGAGGGGAGGGCGCCAGGAGCCCCGGGCAGACAAGGGCAGGAGACCGAUCAGAUCUGGCCAGCUCAGCAGGACCCCACAGACUCAUGAAUUUUUCAGAGGCACCCAAAGUGAAGAGCGAAGCUGCCAAUGGGGUCCCGGGGGUCCUGCUUUAAAUUAUUCACAGCCGAGCAAGGGUGGUAGCAUCUGGCCCCAAGGCCCCGACUUCAGGUGUAGCCUCCCUGAGCCCCGGCCGGAGCCAGCCCUGUGGCCGGCAGGCAGGGCACCUCCCUGGGCCUCCACAUCUUCCUCGGCAGCCCAGGCACACGAGCCCUUUGUGAGUGCCACUCCGUGUCCCCGGCUUGGGCCCCCAGGCCUCAGGUUGUGGCCCCCCCCCCACUCCGGACGGCAACGUAGGGCUGUGGUGCCCAGCUGCCCACGGGGCUCCUCAAGCUGACACCCUACCCCCCAAGCCUGGUGGACCCUGCCCCUUACCCUGCUCAGCAGCCCCUGCUUGCGGUAGGAAAGGGCCCCCCCACCACUGGGGCAAAGGAAGGCCCCCCAGCUCCCUCCACAUCCCAAGCCUGCACCCCCACCUGACUCCUGCAGGCCACCGCCAUGGCUCCAGCGGCCACUCCGGAGCUGGACAGCGGCAGAGACAGGAGGGGAGCCCACCGGCCGCACCUGCGAACACGCACUUAGUGCCGCUCAUUCAGACACCUGCUCUGUCCCUGGCGCCUUGCUACCUGCAAUGCUACUGAGACCAGGGGCUGUCAAAGCUCAGUCCGGGCCCCUCAGGUCCCAAGAACCUUCUAGAAGGCCCUAGAGGUCGAAACUGCUUCCAUAGUCCUAUCAAGACCUUUUCUCUGUCACUACUGUUCUCUCUUAUAUGUGGAGUUUUCCGGAGGCCGUGACGUGUGAUGACGCCACACGUUUGUCACUAUGUGACGGGGUGAGAACCGAGGGCCAGAGUGUCACACGAGAGGCUGUGCGAGUCCCCCCACCCCAGCCCUCCCCUGUGACGGGGGCUCAUCUCCCUGCAGUGUCUCAAGCCCGAGGUGUGGCCAGUGCCCACCGGACCCCAGAAACCCACCUUCCGAGUGUGGGCGGCUCCAGGAACAGCCUGGGCACUUCCCGCCGUCCUGCUGGCAGGGUGCUGGAGGCAGGGGAGCCCCCUUGCUGGACCCUGGGGAACAUCCCGGGGAGGCGUGCUGCCCCUGUGGAGGCCCAGAGCCACCGCACCCCGCCGGGCUGAGGCCCCAGGUUUCUGCCUCCUCCA